AUUAACGCUAGCGGCAGGCAUAAUACAUGCAAGUUGAACGAGAUUAGUUUUAGCAAUAGAACUUUUUUAGUGGCGCACGGGUGCGUAACGCGUAUGCAACCUACCUUAAACAGGGGAAUAGCCUCUCGAAAGAGAGAUUAAUACCGCAUAAUAUAUAUUUGGAGCAUUCUAGAUAUAUUAAACCUACGGGGGUUUAAGAUGGGCAUGCGUGACAUUAGCUAGUUGGUGAGGUAACGGCUCACCAAGGCCACGAUGUCUAGGGGGUCUGAGAGGAUGUCCCCCCACACUGGUACUGAGACACGGACCAGACUCCUACGGGAGGCAGCAGUAGGGAAUAUUGGUCAAUGGAGGCAACUCUGAACCAGCCAUGCCGCGUGCAGGACUAAGGCCCUAUGGGUCGUAAACUGCUUUUGAACGGGAAGAAAUGUAUCUACGUGUAGAUAUUUGACGGUACCGUUAGAAUAAGGAUCGGCUAACUUCGU
rnacentral:rRNA from 1 species